UCCAGACUCCUACGGGAGGCAGCAGUGGGGAAUAUUGCACAAUGGGGGAAACCCUGAUGCAGCAACGCCGCGUGAGUGAAGAAGUAUUUCGGUAUGUAAAGCUCUAUCAGCAGGGAAGAGAAUGACGGUACCUGACUAAGAAGCCCCGGCUAACUACGUGCCAGCAGCCGCGGUAAUACGUAGGGGGCGAGCGUUAUCCGGAAUUACUGGGUGUAAAGGGAGCGUAGACGGCGAGGUAAGCCUGAAGUGGAAGCCCGCGGCCCAACCGCGGAACUGCUUUGGGAACUGUUUUGCUGGAGUAUGGGAGGGGUAAGCGGAAUUCCUGGUGUAGCGGCGAAAUGCGUAGAUAUCAGGAGGAACACCGGUGGCGAAGGCGGCUUACUGGACCAUAACUGACGUCGAGGCUCGAAAGCGUGGGGAGCGCACAGGAUUAGAUCCCCCUGUA
rnacentral:rRNA from 1 species